rnacentral:lncRNA from 1 species
ACUUUAUUUUUCUAUUUUACUACCAAACUUGAUAUAUUGAUUCCUAAGGUCAAAGAUUUUGCUAAAUUUUUUUUUGUAUAAGUUCUUUAUUAUCAUUCUAAAGAUUAUAGAGUUUCUUUAUAAAAAAGAUCUUAGAAAUGAUCCUCAAUGAUUUGUAAAGUAUAGUCAAAACAUCCUACAUCUCCUUUGUUAACUUACAUUUACGUAUGUGUGUCAACUAUAAAGGCUUAACAUUGAAAGCAAUUAAUGCUUUUGCUUUUGCCUUGCUUAACUUCCAUUUUGAUUUCUUGUUUGUACUUGUAGGAUAUUAUAAUAUUUCAUUUAUGUGAAUGUAGAGCUUAUAUAUAUUAAUCAAGUACUUCAUAACAAACAUCCUAAUGCCAUAAUUAUUUUUAUUCAAUCAAUUAAUAAGAUAGUCAAUCAAGGAUGAUAUCAUUGUCAAAUCAACAUAUGCAACAACAACAACAACAAUAAACAAUAAGAUUGUUUAAUUAUAAUUGUUAUAAAAUCAACAAUAAAACAAUCAAAUAUUAUAUCAACAAUAAUAGCAAAUGAUAGUGAUACCUUGUUAUGAUAAAGCAAAAAUUAUUUUUUUGGCAACAACAACAUCAAUUGAUGAAUCUCCAUACAUGUUAGAAUUAGCUACUAAUAACACAACAUUCAACAACUAACACGUUAUAAGUAAGCAACAAAUGAUUUGAUUUGAUUCUUGUAGCUUACACUAAGUACAUGCACAUACAAGACAACAAGAUUAGUUGUAGUAGUAGCGACAAUAAGAAUGACAACAUUUAUUGCAUAAGUAGUACUUGCAAUACGUUCUAAUAUCAUGUAACAAAGUGACAUUCAUCAUAUCAUAAAAAAAUAUUUAUUCAAUUAAAAUUUUUUAUUUUCUACAAUAAAAAAUGGACUAAAAGAAUAGGGUAUUACUUUGUUGAAAUUUGAUAAUUUAUUAGACAAGUCCGAGCUUGCAAUACAAUCUUUGUAGUAUUAUUCAAUACCUUCAUAAUUAUACAAAAAUUGUUAAGAAAGGCAUUUAAUAAAUGGUGCAACCUUUGAAGGUGAGAAAGAUGUUAGAAGUUUGAAUGUUGAAUUUCUUCCUGCUAUUGGUUAUUCAAAAUUUGUACUCCUAAACUUUGAUUUGAAGUAUAAGAAAAACAAAACAAAAAUUACUGCGACUCUUGUGGUCCCAAGAGACGGAGUCUUGUAAUCACAAGAAUCGAUGACUUGGUUCGAAAAUUAGGGUUUCGAUCGUGUUUGGAGACCCACCUCGCAUUUCAUCACUCGCUGUUGUUUCAUGAUCUGCAGCAGCGAUACGUUGCUGUUUUCUUGAGUGGGUUCAUUGACUCGGCACGGUUUCGCACAAUUUGUCUUGGGGAAUAGCAAUUCGC